rnacentral:rRNA from 1 species
GAAAGCCGCUCUAGGUGGUAGAGGACUCCAGGAAUAGGUGGGGUCGAGCGCUCCUUCGGAGCCCUCCUCCGCUCGGGAGCAGCGUUCCUUCGGCGUCUUCCUCCUCGAGUUGGCCCGCAGCGACCGGUCUCUUCCUCCUCUCCGCGCCUACGGACGGUCCCUCCGCCUAGCCGAGUAGAGGCACCGACCUUUCCGAGCUACAAUGUUAAUGUUGUACCCCGAAGUUCACAGAUAAUGACACCUUGUGGUUAUAGGCACGUAAAAUCAAUGCUGAUUCACGGUGUGGUUACUUACACUUACAGACAAGUCCAUUAUUCAUAGUGCUAAUCGUUAAAGUCAAACAGGGGUAUCAGAUACAAACAGGGUACAGGAAAGUCGUGGAAGACAAUAAAAGGACGUAAAAAGAAGGGAAGACGACGUCUAAUUCACUGACUUUCGUUUGUUUAUUAAUAAGACCUGAUAAGUCUAAUAGUUCAUGUCAUAUGACGUCGUAUAGUCGAAGAAUUUAAAGACAACGUUGGAUCGUAUAUGGUCGUAUUUUUUCAAAGAAAACGAGUAGUACAUAUAAUACAAGGAGAUUUAGUGCACAUGGUAAAAGUCCAUAAUUAUCACGUCAUGAUGUAAUUCCGUUAUACAAUCGUAUAAUCCAUGAUGAUAAGAAACGAGAGAUUAAACACUCGCGAAUACCAAAACGGCGUCAUGUCUGAGCCGUAGAUAAGCAGAACCAUGUUUGAUUACAAAAUUAUUCCACACUAUUUAAAUUAUUAUUCUACAACGUCUCUAAUUGUGUUACAAAAGGACGUCAAAAAAAAGUGGAUUUUAGCAGGAAGUUGUGUUACUAAAAUAACACAAUUACAGAAAGUUUAGAGUUGAAACAUGUACGUCACAGGUAGAACCAAGACCACUUAACUAAACCCCUUGAGAACUUUAGACAAAGAACAUAUAACCGGUACUAUUGAGAAGUGGACUGUAAGACGUUACCGAAGGUCGGUCCCAAAAGAACAACGACGAUAAGGAGCACCUAUAAGUUCUCCGUUGAACCGUGGAUUACAGUUGUCGUACGAAUAACCACUGCUCACUUUACUUUCUUCCGACGUUACCUUAAACAUAAUCCGUAGACAAGAAGUUUACUCCGAGGUUGGACUCGUUCCCGUACCAAACGUCUACUACAUAGACGAAAUACACACAAUCUUCUCGGGAGGCUGCGGGUCGGCAACCACAGAGAAGGGCUUCUUCCUAGUACCAAGGGGUGGAGAGAUGUUGAGUAUAAUUUUAAAACCAUAUAAGAAAAGAAUGAAAUAAAGGACACUUGUUUUUCAACCUUGGAUAAGAAUUAAAGGGUAUCACCAAAACUACCAUAAACCAGUCACACAAGGACCGACCUUAACGUACAUAUAGAAUGUCUAAAUGUAACGUUGUUAAUUAUUCCUCUUAUCUUCGUAAACGUAGGAGAUUAUGAAACGGACGGUACGAAUCGCUCUUAAGUUUUAUCACUGGAAACCUAUAGUUAAUACCCAAACACUAAAACACGGUCCUGGAUUUUCUUAAAAACGGAGUACGAAGCUGAUAGUAUAGAUAAAAGAGAUAUUUAAGAUCUGUAGAUCAAGUCUAAUACUAGAAACGUACGGGAAAAAAACAUAGAAGACUUUAACCGGUUGUAAUGUUUUUUCUCGGUGUACAAAAUCUUUAACUUAGUGGUACUGUCGAAAAGUCCAAUACCAAGAAAUCGGUAAAUUACGUCAUAGUUACCAAGUCACACGAAGUACUUUACUUUGUAUUACAUAUCAAGUCGUCAAAACUCUGAAUGGGCGUAUAAAAACGAAGUGGGCAGUGGUGUCUCCAGAAUGGAGUGGAACUGGUACCUCGGUGAUCCUCAUACUAGUUAUAUACUAGUAAGAAUAUCAACUUUAGUUAACGAAGGAAGUAGUUCACUAAGUAUCAUUUGGUCAUUUGUACUUAAAAUACACGUAUAUAAUGAAGAAACAAACGGUAAAUAAAACAAGUUUUAUAAAUAUACUGUAAAAAGUUUUUCGAAUUCCAAUCUCUACACCACGAUAUACUCCGAUAACAAUCCUACCUUCUAUUUAAUUACAAUUUUAUAAAAACUAAAGGAAAUAAGGCAUUUGCCGUUAUGUUCUAUACAAACCCGGUGUACUAAGAUAAGGUUUUUAAAUUUGUUGAACCGUUAAUUGUUGCGUAGUUUACAAUACAUAACUUUUAAACUUUACCUAGUGAAACAGUCCAACCCAAAAUCAUCCAGUAUUACCAAAAUAAGAUACUGUUCGAAUUAAACAAAUAUUACAUUGGUCAAGUUCCUAACUGCUCAAAAACUCGGGAUACUGGAAACAUGUGAGUCCAAGCCGACACAAGAAACACUUCAUAUGCAGUACGUUCCGAGUACACGCAACGUGACAAAAGUGAAAGGUUCGAUGUCAGAUAUGAGGGAGACAUUUGAUUAUAUGAGGUUCGAUGUUAGAAAUCACUAGACUUGCCAGAAUAUAUUUAAUGUUUCCCUCAUGAACUUUCCUAUAAGAAACAUACAACAAACUAAGGUAGUCGGCAUGUUGGAUUUAAUCGUUAAUCCAUAGAUGUGUCAAGUCACCUUGGUAACACGAACGACAUCAAAAUAAAAUCGCAACUUUACAAGAAUCAAACAAGACAUGACUCUUUAUAAAAACAAAAGGCCGGUAACAAAUGAUUUAGGAUAUUUGUAUAAUGGAAUAUACCGGAAACUUCAAAGGCAAAAUAUUUCUCGAAACGUGACUAGUUGAACUCAUACCAUACCAAAUAAGAAAACACAACGUCGAUAAGGUCUCUUCAAAUCUGGAGGUGUUGGAAUCGUCUCUACUUUGUUAGUUAGUCGACUCUACGUAGUGUACUAGAAAAAGAGAACUGAAACUACCCAUAACUUGGGUAUCUUAUCGAAUAGUUACCUUGAGAAUAGUCGCAACUCUUCCACCGUGUUUUAGAGUAUGCGUCCCGCUAGUCGAUUCUUCGUAGUCCUUCCUGAAAAUCCUACCAUGUCGCCAGUUUACGUAGGAUCCUAUCCAGGAAAUUCUUAAUACCACACAAAGGGAGGAAAACAAAUGGUAUCCGUGUCUCCAAAUCGGAGUUAAAUAAUACUAUAAAAACAAAUAUCAUCUACGUCUUGACUCUGAAUGGGUCCAACACUCUCGACCACUACUAAGAUAAUUUUCAGGGAACAAUGGACGUUGCAAACAGAGACAUUUGUCGUAUUGAUUGCGGCAUACCAAAGGUUACACUGAUUCUACAUUUAAGAAGGACCC